rnacentral:misc_RNA from 1 species
UCCGGUUUGGCACCGGCAGUCCCCCCAGAGUCCUCGGCAUAACCCGUUAGCAACUGGGAGCGGGGGUUGCGCUCGUUGCGGGACUUAACCCAACAUCUCACGACACGAGCUGACGACAGCCAUGCAGCACCUGUGCAAGGCCCCGAAGGACACCGUAUCUCUACGGCUUUUCCCUGCAUGUCAAACCCAGGUAAGGUUCUUCGCGUUGCCUCGAAUUAAGCAACAUGCUCCACCGCUUGUGCGAGCCCCCGUCAAUUCCUUUGAGUUUUAAUCUUGCGUCCGUACUCCCCAGGCGGGAUGCUUAAUGCGUUAGCUGCGCCACUGACAGGCAAGCCUGCCAACGGCUAGCAUCCAUCGUUUACGGCGUGGACUAC